rnacentral:rRNA from 1 species
CCUACGGGAGGCAGCAGUGGGGAAUUUUGCGCAAUGCUCGUAAGAGUGACGCAGCGACGCCGCGUGAAUGACGAAGGCCUUCGGGUCGUAAAGUUCUGUCGACAGGGAAGAAAAUGCCUAUAAGUAACUGUUUAUGUAUUGACGGUACCUGGAUAAGCAGCCCCGGCUAACUCCGUGCCAGCAGCCGCGGUAAUACGGAGGGGGCGAGCGUUGUUCGGAGUGAUUGGGCGUAAAGAGCACGUAGGCGGUGUUGUAAGUCAUUAGUCAAAGACCAGAGCUCAACUUUAGUAAGGCUAGUGAUACUAUAAAACUAGAGUAAGAGAGAGGAUUGCAGAAUUCCUGGUGUAGUGGUGAAAUGCGUAGAUAUCAGGAGGAAUACCGUUAGCGAAGGCGGCAAUCUGGCUGGAAACUGACGCUGAGGUGCGAAAGCGUGGGUAGCAAACAGGAUUAGAUACCCGGGUAGUC